rnacentral:rRNA from 1 species
GAUGAACGCUGGCGGCGUGCCUAAUACAUGCAAGUCGAGCGAACAGACGAGGAGCUUGCUCCUCUGACGUUAGCGGCGGACGGGUGAGUAACACGUGGAUAACCUACCUAUAAGACUGGGAUAACUUCGGGAAACCGGAGCUAAUACCGGAUAAUAUAUUGAACCGCAUGGUUCAAUAGUGAAAGACGGUUUUGCUGUCACUUAUAGAUGGAUCCGCGCCGCAUUAGCUAGUUGGUAAGGUAACGGCUUACCAAGGCAACGAUGCGUAGCCGACCGGAGAGGGUGAUCGGCCACAUGGGAACUGAGACACGGUCCAGACUCCUACGGGAGGCAGCAGUAGGGAAUCUUCCGCAAUGGGCGAAAGCCUGACGGAGCAACGCCGCGUGAGUGAUGAAGGUCUUCGGAUCGUAAAACUCUGUUAUUAGGGAAGAACAAAUGUGUAAGUAACUAUGCACGUCUUGACGGUACCUAAUCAGAAAGCCACGGCUAACUACGUG